AUGCAGUAAUGCAAGCUACACUUUUCUUGAGAAGUGCUAUGCCUUUCUGCAGAUCCUUGUGCGUUUCUAUUGAGUGCAGGGAAGCAGAAGCAUAGUUGAAACUACUACUACUGGAAGAAUCCAACCGAGGUUUUCUAUCAGAUUCCAUCGAGGUAACUCCAAAGUUACUUGAAGUUCCAGAAUUACUGCUACUUCUGUCGUACCAUGAAGCUUCCCCACCUGAAGAGCAAAAGUUUUGGCGCGGAAUAAAAAGUGGGUACUCG
rnacentral:misc_RNA from 1 species